CGCAGCCGCGGUAAUUCCAGCUCCAAUAGCGUAUAUUAAAGUUGUUGCAGUUAAAAAGCUCGUAGUUGAAUUUCGGGAUUGGCGCAUCGGUCGUGCCUCACGGGGUAUGAACUGGUGCAGUCAAUUUCUCACCUUCUGGAGAACCGCGAUGUCCUUAAUUGGAUGCCGCGGGGAACCAGGACCUUUACUUUGAAAAAUUAGAGUGUUUAAAGCAGGCAUUUUUGCUUGAAUACAUUAGCAUGGAAUAAUAAAAUAGGACGGCAUGGUUCUAUUUUGUUGGUUUCUAGGACCACCGUAAUGAUUAAUAGGGAUAGUUGGGGGCAUUAGUAUUCAAUUGUCAGAGGUGAAAUUCUUGGAUUUAUUGAAGACUAACUACUGCGAAAGCAUUUGCCAAGGAUGUUUUCAUUAAUCAAGAACGAAAGUUAGGGGAUCGAAGACGAUCAGAUACCGUCGUAGUCUUAACCAUAAACUAUGCCGACUAGGAAUCAGACGAUGUUAAUUUUUAAUGUACUCGUUUGGC
rnacentral:misc_RNA from 1 species